GCCAGCUUUGUCAAGCACACAGACCCAGCUUUAUCUUUCUUUGCUGCUGCGCAUAAUCGUAUCAGCCUGAGGCUGGAGCAGGAAGUUAAGUUUGAAAUAAAAGCACAGUGCCUUAUAGAUGGGAAGUGGAGACAGUUCAGUAUUGAUCAACUCACCCUGAAGUCUGGAGUCACACAAUCCUCUUGCAAAAGCCAGAAGGAAGCUGGUUUUCUGCAGAGGAAGAAGGAGCUGGAGCUGGAGCUGGAGCUGGAGCUGGAGCUGGAGCUGGAGCUGGAGCUGGAGCUGGAGCUGGAGCUGGAGCUGGAGCUGGAGCUGGAGCUGGAGCUGGAGCUGGAGCUGGAGCUGGAGCUGGAGCUGGAGCUGGAGCUGGAGCUGGAGCUGGAGCUGGAGCUGGAGCUGGAGCUGGAGCUGGAGCUGGAGCUGGAGCUGGAGCUGGGUGGGAAGCCUGGCCAUUGUAGUUUCUUUAUCACAUAAAGUGGGAGCCAUGGAG
rnacentral:lncRNA from 1 species